GGCUUUACCGGAACCCACUGCGAUGACCAAUGCAAAUAUCCAAACUAUGGUUAUGGCUGCCAGCAACAAUGCUUAUGUCCCAAGGCGCGUUGCAAUUUUGUAUAUGGCUGCUCAAAAAGAAAACCCAAUAUUGCCCGUCCAUAUCCCAAGACGAAAUCAAGUUCAGCUCCAAUGGAAAAAAAAACAAUUGAAGGUAUAACAGAAAAACAGCCUGAAACAUUUGUAAACACUGAAACAAAGUUUCAUAAAGAAUUUACGUUUGGAACACAAUCAGAUUCACAACGAGGACAGCACCCAAUCAAAGGUAUUACAGAAAAAAAGCCUGAAACAUUUGUGAACACUGAAUCAAAGAUUCCUAAAGGAUUUACGUGGGGAACACAAUUCGAUUCACAACGAGGACAGGAGACAAACAAACAUAUAGAGAAGACGUCUAUUACAACUGUUAUCACGCACGGAUAUAAAGAAAGACGCGCCGAUUCACUUACUUUCAGGACGCCGCACAGGUAACACCUUUGAAUACCGAUUCUAUUCCUUCAAACCAUGUCUUUAAAAAAGCAAACGGUAAGCAUUGAAUAUAUUCUUACUUAUCUUUGUCACUGAUUGAUUACAAACAAUGUUAUCAUAACUUUUACCUGAUACUCUGACAAUGGAUUUAAUCAAAGUUGUGAUUCCCCGGACACUCUAUUGUCCGUCGUUUCCAUCAGUUUUCCAUCAGGAUUAGAGAUAUGGUGAGGAUCUGGGUAUUAACUCGUAUGCAAUAAUGUACAAAGAAACAUGGGGUCGUAUCUCUGAUGGUAUUUUACAUCACGAUGUACCUUUAAUUAAACGAUUCCAGCCGGAUCAUAUCAUUCUUAUAGUUGGUGGCAAUGAUGUAAGACGAUUAAAUUCACCGGAGGAACUUGCAUGAAAACUGUUAGUAUUUGUAUCAGUUUUACAUAAAUGGUGUAGUGUUUCACAUAUUCACGCAUGUAAAUUACUCCCAAGAUUUUGGCAGUCAUUUAAUUAUAAUUUGUCGAUGCCAAUGCUCUUAUAAAUGACCAUUUUGAGUUAUGCAUCCCUCUGGGAGCAUAAUGGACUGUUUCUUUCACCGGCAGCAGACAUAUUUUGUGAUCGUAAAUUCUUAGCAGACGGCGUCCAUUUAAACAAGCAGGGGAAGGUUCAUUUUUAUCGCAGCUUGUGUGAUCUUUUUUUCAAGGUCAGACUAAGUUAAAAAAUUGGCCGUAUUAUGUCAUCAUUCUAUAUUAUAGAAAUCACCUUGUAAUGAUAACGUUGGAAUUAUGCUAUAUGAUUAAAGACAUAUUUAUGCAUUUAUAUGAUUAAAAAAAAAUAUUAUCACCUUCUUCAAACUGUGUACUUAAAUACCAUUUGCUAAUACCAACACAGCAACUAUAUUCAAUAGUGUUCAUCAUGGCACCUAAGCGGAUAUCUACGCAAUUGACGAAUUGACCAUCGACCAAAAGAAGAAAGCAAUCUCUAAUUAGCUUAGUACCACUCUCCAGUUCUCCUAUCAUCUUUCCGGAGGGAGAUUUUGGAAACCAUCAUGAAAGAGGUCACGGAAAAGUCACCCCAACCUGAAGGAGAAUAUUUUAAACAUGUUCAAUGCUCUCCAGCCAACUGAUAUCACUAGUCAGGGUAGUAUUGCAUGUGCAUCUAGUAUUAACUCUAAUACCAGUAGGGAUAAUGCAAUUCAGGAAACUGUCGAGGCAGCAAUCGGUAAUCAAUCUGGUAAGAUAACAUCAGGUAGGUCCAGUAGUGGUUUUGUACGUACAUCAGUCUCAAUAGAAGCCCGUGUAGUCGUAAAUAUCGUCCAAGCAGUAUGUGGAUUUCGGUAGUCUGCUACUCCGGAACAAACAAGGCAGGGACAAUUUUUCCCUCCAGGAAGACAUUUCAAUGAAGUAGAUAGGCUUACAAUUUACCAGGUAAAGAAAGAUGAUACUGAAGUGGGAUUUUCUUUUAUGGCGACUAGCUUACAGCUUCGAAUAGGUAUAUGCCUAUAGUAUGCAUAAAGUAUCCACUUGAGCAAGCUAAACACCUAGAAGCGGUUAGGGACAUUGCAGAUUCAAUAGGUAACUGGUAUAGUUACGAUAAGGACUUCCGAUCCUUAAUUGAACAAAGCCAAUUGCAGUAUGAAAAAUGUUGACUAACAACUGUAUUUUAUUUAACAGUGAUAAUCAGGCAUUGGUGCAUGUUAAAAACAA